rnacentral:rRNA from 1 species
UUUCGGGGUUGUCGAUAAGAAUGUGAGUCACAUUGUAUGGAUACAUGUAAAAGUAUAAAAGUAUGAUGAGUGGGUUCAAUUCAAUGUUUUUAUUGGAGUUCUAGUUCAUUUACUUUGAGAAAAUUAGAGUGUUUAAAGCAGCCUCUUGGGGGCUCUGAAUACAUUAGCAUGGGAUAAUAGAAUAGGAUUUCAAUCAUAUUAUUGGUUUGAAUGGAUGAAAUAAUGAUUAAGAGGAACAGUUGGGGGUAUUUAUAUUGGAUGGGGACCGGUGAAAUGGGUGGAUCCAUUCAAGAUAAACUAAAGCGAAAGCAUUUACCAAGGAUGUUUUCAUUAAUCAAGAUCGAAAGUUAAGGGAUCGAAGACGAUUAGAUACCGUCGUAGUCUUAACUAUAAACUAUGCCGACCAGGGAUAUGAGUUGUUAUGAAUGAUGUAAAAAGUCAUUCAAUUUCCUCUUGUGGACCUUGUGAGAAAUCAUAAGUUUUUGGGUUCUGGGGGGGAGUAUGGUCGCAAGGCUGAAACUUAAAGGAAUUGACGGAGGGGC